rnacentral:rRNA from 1 species
ACACGGGAUGCUUAUACGGCGAGUGAAGCGGCAAAGCUCAAAUUUGAAAUCUGGCGUCUUCGACGUCCGAGUUGUAAUUUGAAGAAGGCAACUUUGUAGCUGGUCCUUGUCUAUGUUCCUUGGAACAGGACGUCAUAGAGGGUGAGAAUCCCGUGUGGCGAGGAUCCCAGUUAUUUGUAAAGUGCUUUCGACGAGUCGAGUUGUUUGGGAAUGCAGCUCUAAGUGGGUGGUAAAUUCCAUCUAAAGCUAAAUAUUGGCGAGAGACCGAUAGCGAACAAGUACAGUGAUGGAAAGAUGAAAAGAACUUUGAAAAGAGAGUGAAAAAGUACGUGAAAUUGUUGAAAGGGAAGGGCAUUUGAUCAGACAUGGCGUUUGCUUCGGCUUUCGCUGGGCCAGCAUCAGUUUUAGCGGUUGGAUAAAUCCUCGGGAAUGUGGCUCUGCUUCGGUAGAGUGUUAUAGCCCGUGGGAAUACAGCCAGCUGGGACUGAGGAUUGCGACUUUUGUCAAGGAUGCUGGCGUAAUGGUUAAAUGCCG